AUCGUACCCCAAACCGACACAGGUGGUCAGGUAGAGAAUACCAAGGCGCUUGAGAGAACUCGGGUGAAGGAACUAGGCAAAAUGGUGCCGUAACUUCGGGAGAAGGCACGCUGGUGUGUAGGUGAAGCCCCUGCGGGUGGAGCUGAGACCAGUCGAAGAUACCAGCUGGCUGCAACUGUUUAUUAAAAACACAGCACUGUGCAAACACGAAAGUGGACGUAUACGGUGUGACGCCUGCCCGGUGCCGGAAGGUUA
rnacentral:rRNA from 1 species